AGAGAGAGAAUUCAUCAUUUUGUGUGCAGCAGUUUUAAUUAUUUUUUUUUCUAAUUUAAAUUUUGCUUUAGACCAAAUGAGAAUCAUUUUGUUGCCCAUCCACUGGAUCUGUCGAAGGAUAAGGAAAAAAGCCAACAACACCAACACGGUCAACAAGGUUCUUUGUUUGUUUACCCCUUGGCUGGUGAAAGAUUGUUGUGCAUCAAGUUAACCUGUGGCUGUUCCUUGUUGCUGGUGUGUUACGGAAGUUGCAGGAAGUAUUUUGUUCAAUUUGCAUCAUGUCUGUAGAUUUACAGCUAGUUUAAGUCUUACCUUCUUCUUCGUUCCAGUCUAAUUCACACAGGUUUAGCGUUUAUUUUCGCGUAGUUGCUGUCCAAUGUGGCACGUUGUUGCAGCCUAUGCUGGUGUCUGGUGAAAGAUCUUUCUGCAUCAAGUUCAACUGGUUGUUCCUUGUCGGUGGUGUUGUGUUACCAAAAUUGCGUCAUCAAUCAUCAUAUUGUUAAAUUGUCAUAGUGUCUGCAGUUAUCGUUCAGGAGUUAAGAAGGAACAAAAACAAAUAUGGGAUGUUUAUGUCUAACAAAUAGUAAACAUGUUUUCGGGAUUGGGAAAGGAAAGUGGAGGAUGUAAGGGGGUAAUUCAAGUUUGGAUAAACAAUCAGUUAAUCUAUAACCCUACAAACAUAUCCCUACCAAUUAAUCUCCAAACCCCACUAACAUACACCUAUCAACUCUCAAAUUUAUACCCUAAACCACAUAAACUAAUGUUAAACCCUAACAAUGUGAUGUCUGUAAUAAAUAAAAAAUUUAAUACCUAAAA